rnacentral:lncRNA from 1 species
CCAUGCCCACUUCACCAAAGCAGGUCUCUUCGGUGAAGGCCAUCCGCUCAUGGUGGGCACUGCUUUGGUUUUGGUUGAAGCCAAUGGACGAGCGAACCAGUUCAAUGCUGGGGACAAAUCACACCCUCAAGCAUGAAAGGUGCAUGCCUUGGAUGAAGUGGUUCUCCCCAGAUGCGGCCUCUCGAAUCCCUGCUGUGUGGAUAAUUACUUGGAAAAAUUGUGAUGAGCGAGGAGAGAAAUAACAGCCUCUGCUCCGGUAUGCUGUGGUCGGAUUAGCACAAGGCCUGGGAGAUCGUUGUCAGAUUCUGUUCCUCUGAAGACGAGGGAGUUAAGCUCCGUAAGCACCAUGCUCCCGUUGAGGGAGUCAAGCUUCCUGAGCACCUGUUUUUUAGUGCUCCGUAACUGUAGCAGCCGCGCAUCAAACUAUACCGUUAGAAAUUUGACCGGUAAAUUUGGCAGACGUGAUCUCAUUCCAAACUCCAGCAGCGGCGUGUCAAAUUGUACCGUCAGAAGCUUGGCGGAUAAAUUUGGCAGGUGCGAUCUCAUUCCAAACUCUAGCAGCGGCGCAUCAACCAUACCGUCAGAAAUUUGACAGAUAAAAUUAGUAGGCGUGAUCUCAUUCCAAACCUCAGCAAUGGUGCGUCAAACCAUACCGUCAGAAAUUUAGUGGGUAAAAUUAGCAGGUGUGAUCUCGUUCCAAACUUCCAGCAGCGGCGUGUCAAACCAUACCGUCAGCAAUUGGACAGGUAAAUUUGGCAGGCGUGAUCUCGCUCUUGAUCAUGGAGGCAUGCAUCUGCAUGGCAUCGCCCCAGUCUUCAAUCUCCGAUUUUAUUUACUGCACUUGGCUCUCUUUUUUUUUGACGGGUUCUUCAUACAAUGUGGAUAUGAAUACGCCUAAUAAAAUCAAAAAACAUAAGCUCACGAAGUGCCCAUGGCAGCUUCCCUUCAUCUAACCACAGGGUGUAUACUGAGUAGUGAGCUGCAGAGGCAGCCACCUAGUCAGCCAUCCUGUUGGCCUCUCUAAAUAUAUGCUUGGCCUGGAAGGCUAUCCCAUCCCUCAUCAUCAUCCCUAUAUCCUGGAUUAGGAGGUGGUCUGUGCUCUCGCCCCUCGGACCCUUCUAAAUUCAUCUGAUCACCGUGGCUGAAUCGCCCUCCAAGAUAACCGAAUUGGCCUGUAACACCUGUCGCACAUGUCGAAGACUCGCUCAGGCAACCCGCAACUCUGCCUCGAGAAUCGACUUGUCAAACAACUGGCAUUCGCCUGCUAUCACUACCAUGAAAUGCGGGUUCCAUAUAACAAAGCCCACACCUCCCUGCUCACCUCCAUCCAGCACCGACUCGUCAAAAUUGACCUUGAGAAAGCUCGGAGGUGGGGGCU